CCUACGGGCGGCAGCAGUGAGGAAUAUUGGUCAAUGGACGAGAGUCUGAACCAGCCAAGUAGCGUGAAGGAUGACUGCCCUCUGGGUUGUAAACUUCUUUUAUAUGGGAAUAAAAUGUUCCACGUGUGGGAUUUUGUAUGUACCAUCUGAAUAAGGAUCGCCUAACUACGUGCCAGCAGCCGCGGUAAUACGGAGGAUCCGAGCGUUAUACGGAUUUUUGGGGUUGAAAGGGAGCGUAUGUGGAUUGUCAAGUAAGUUGUGAAAGUUUGCGGCUCAAACGUAAAAUUGCAAUUAAAACUGGCAGUCUUGAGUACAGUAGAGGUGGGCGGAAUUCGUGGUGUAGCGGUGAAAUGCUUAGAUAUCACGAAGAACUCCGAUGGCGAAGGCAGUUCACUGGACUGCAACUGACACUGAGGCUCGAAAGUGUGGGUAUCAAACAGGAUUAGAUACCCCGGUAGUC
rnacentral:rRNA from 1 species